CCCUUAGAUGUCCUGGGCCGCACGCGUGCUACACUGACGCCUACAGCGAGUACUUCCCAGCCCCGAGAGGCGGCUGGUAAUCAGCAAUAGGCGUCGUGAUGGGGAUAGAUCUUUGGAAUUAUGGAUCUUGAACGAGGAAUGCCUAGUAAGCGCAGGUCAUUAGCCUGCGCUGAUUACGUCCCUGCCCUUUGUACACACCGCCCGUCGCUCCUACCGAGUGGGUGAUCCGGUGAACUAUUCGGACUCCGGUUAUUCCAGCAUUUGGUUUUGCUGGGGAAAGUUUCGUGAACCUUAUCACUUGGAGGAAGGAGAAGUCGUAACA
rnacentral:rRNA from 1 species